CCUACGGGAGGCAGCAGUGAGGAAUAUUGGUCAAUGGGCGCGAGCCUGAACCAGCCAAGUCGCGUGAGGGAAGACGGCCCUACGGGUUGUAAACCUCUUUUGCCGGGGAGCAACGGGCGCCACGUGUGGCGCCACUGAGAGUACCCGGAGAAAAAGCAUCGUCUAACUCCGUGCCAGCAGCCGCGGUAAUACGGAGGAUGCGAGCGUUAUCCGGUUUUAUUGGGUUGAAAGGGUGCGUAGGCGGAGCUUUAAGUCAGUGGUCAAAUUGAGGGGCUCAACCCCUUCCCGCCAUUGAAACUGGCGUUCUUGAGUGGAAGAGAGGUAUGCGGAAUGCGUGGUGUAGCGGUGAAAUGCAUAGAUAUCACGCAGAACCCCGAUUGCGAAGGCAGCAUGCCGGCUUCCUACUGACGCUGAAGCACGAAAGCGUGGGGAUCGAACAGGAUUAGAUACCCGAGUAGUC
rnacentral:rRNA from 1 species